rnacentral:rRNA from 1 species
UACGUAGGGUGCGAGCGUUGUCCGGAAUUAUUGGGCGUAAAGAGCUCGUAGGCGGUUUGUCGCGUCGGCCGUGAAAACUUGGGGCUUAACCCCAAGCUUGCGGUCGAUACGGGCAGACUUGAGUUCGGCAGGGGAGACUGGAAUUCCUGGUGUAGCGGUGAAAUGCGCAGAUAUCAGGAGGAACACCGGUGGCGAAGGCGGGUCUCUGGGCCGAUACUGACGCUGAGGAGCGAAAGCGUGGGGAGCGAACAG